AUGGCUGUCGUCAGCUCGUGCCGUGAGGUGUUGCCUUAAGUGGCGCAACGAGCGCAACCCCUGUGGUUAGUUACCAGCACGUGAAGGUGGGGACUCUAGCCAGACUGCCUACGCAAGUAGUGAGGAAGGUGGGGACGACGUCAAGUCAUCAUGGCCCUUAUGUCCGGGGCUGCACACGUGCUACAAUGGAUGGUACAGAGGGAAGCCACCACGCAAGUGGGCGCAGAUCUCGAAAGCCAUUCCCAGUUCGGAUUGGAGUCUGCAACUCGACUCCAUGAAGGUGGAAUCGCUAGUAAUCGCGUAUCAGCAAUGACGCGGUGAAUACGUUCCCGGGCCUUGUACACACCGCCCGU
rnacentral:rRNA from 1 species